AGUGAACGCUGGCGGUAGGCCUAACACAUGCAAGUCGAACGGCAGCACAGUAAGAGCUUGCUCUUACGGGUGGCGAGUGGCGGACGGGUGAGGAAUACAUCGGAAUCUACUUUUUCGUGGGGGAUAACGUAGGGAAACUUACGCUAAUACCGCAUACGACCUACGGGUGAAAGCAGGGGAUCUUCGGACCUUGCGCGAUUGAAUGAGCCGAUGUCGGAUUAGCUAGUUGGCGGGGUAAAGGCCCACCAAGGCGACGAUCCGCAGCUGGUCUGAGAGGAUGAUCAGCCAAACUGGAACUGAGAAACGGUCCAGACUCCUACGGGAGGCAGCAGUGGGGAAUAUUGGACAAUGGGCGCAAGCCUGAUCCAGCCAUACCGCGUGGGUGAAGAAGGCCUUCGGGUUGUAAAGCCCUUUUGUUGGGAAAGAAAAGCAGCAGGUUAAUACCCCGCUGUUCUGACGGUACCCAAAGAAUAAGCACCGGCUAACUUCGUG
rnacentral:rRNA from 1 species